GACGAACGCUGGCGGCGUGCUUAACACAUGCAAGUCGAACGGACAGGCCCUGCUUUUGUGGGGUGCUCGUGUGGCGAACGGGUGAGUAACACGUGAGUAACCUGCCCUUGACUUUGGGAUAACUUCUGGAAACUGGGGCUCAUAUCGGAUAGGAGCUCCUGCUGCAUGGGGGGGGUUGGUAAGAUUCGGCGGUUGGGGAUGGUCUGGCGGCUUAUCCGCUUGUUUGUGGAGUAGGGGCUUACAAAGGCUUCGACGGGUAGCCUGCAUGAGAGGGUGACCGGCCACAUGAGGACUAAGAGACGGACCAGACGGCAACGGGAGGCAACGGUGGGAAAUAUUGCACAAUGAGCGGAAGCCAGAGGCAGCAACGCCGCGUGCGGGAUGACGGCCUUCGGGUGGUAAACCACUGUCGCCGGAGACAAAGCCGGAGUGACGGUAAUGAAUAAAGAAGCACCGGCUAACUACGUG
rnacentral:rRNA from 1 species